rfam:Populus trichocarpa scaffold_8_contig_195, whole genome shotgun sequence.
CUGCAUCCAUCGCUUGUCUCAAAGAUUAAGCCAUGCACAUAUAAGUAUAACUAAUUCAGGUUGUAAACUCCAAAUGGCUCAUUAAAUCAGUUAUAGUCUAUUUUAUGGUAUUUGCUACUCGAAUAACCUUAGUAAUUCUAGAGCUAAUAUGUGCAACAAAGCCUGAUUUCUAAAAGGGAUGCAUUUAUUAGAUAAAAACUCGGCACGGGCUCUACUCGUUGCUCUGAUGAUUCAUGAUAACUUGACAGAUCACACGGCCUUCGUGCCAGCAAUACAUGAUUCAAGUUUCUGUCCUAUCAACUUUCGAUGAUAGUAUAGAGGCCCACAAUACAGGAAGGCAGUAGGCGCGCAAAUUAUCCAAUCGUGACACGAUGAGAUAGUGACAAUAAAUAACAAUACCGGGCUCAUUGAGUGUGGUAAUUGGAAUAAGUGCAAUCUAAAUCGUUAACGAGGAUCCAUUGGAGGGCAAGUCUAGUGCCAAUAGCCAUGGUAAUUCCAGCUCUAAUAGCAUAUUUAACUUGUUACAGUUAAAAAGCUCAUAGUUGGACUUUAGGUUAGGUCUACUAGUCCACCUAUGGUGUAGUCGUCUCAUCCCUUUGAUCAGUGAUGCACUCCUGGGCUUAACUGCUUGGGUCAUGCCUCCGGUGUUGUAACUUUGAAGAAAUUAGAGUGUUUAAAGCAAGCCUACGCUCUGGAUAUAUUAGCAUUGUACAAGAUCAUAGGAUUUCGAUCCUAUUGUGUUGGCCUUCAAGAUCGGAGUAAUAAUUAAGAGGGACAGUAGGGGGCAUUCAUAUUUCAUAGUCAAAGGUGAAAUUCUUGGAUUUAUGAAAGAUAAUCAACUAUGAAAGCCUUUUGCCAAUGAUGUUUUUAUUAAUUAAGAAUGAAAGUUGGGAGGCUCAAAGACGAUUGGAUAUUGUCCUAGUCUCAACCACAAUUGAUGUCUACUAGGGAUAGACAGAUGUUGCUUUUAGGACUCCGCUAGCACCUUAAGAGAAAUCAAGUUUUUGGGUUAUG